rnacentral:misc_RNA from 1 species
UCGCCGUUGGUGAACCAGCGGAGGGAUCAUUACCGAGUUUACAACUCCCAACCCCUAUGUGAACCUUACCUUUUGUUGCUUCGGCGGGAUCGCCCUGGCGGUUGACCGCGCCCGCUCUCACCGCCCGCCGGUGGCCCACGACUCUUGUUUAUUUAUGUUUCCUCUCCGUGUGGCACAUGCAAGAUAAAUUAAAACUUUCAACAACGGAUCUCUUGGUUCUG